GAGAAGCAAGUGACGCAUUUCCUGCCUCUUUUAAACCCCGGGAAACGGAGAGUUUCCCCCUCUUUCUCGAAGACGAGGCGGCGGCAGCGGUCUUCUGCUCUCAUGUCAAUGGCAGAAUUACAGCUCGCUAUCAUGACUUACCAAGACUGCGUAUCAGUCUGGCUGCAGGACACAGGAUAAGGGCGGCUUGCUCUCACUCGGGUCCUUGCAUCACCCGAGAGCAGCAGCAAGGCGCUCAUUAAAUGAAAAUGCAUUUAACAUGCAGGAGGCGGCUGUUACCUGUCCAUCAGGUACUGCAUUAGCAUACGGCAAAGCCAAUAUGAAGUGAAACUUUUGAAUGGCACGCAACGAAAAUAGGACCACAAAGGAUUGUAAGUUUUUCCACAGGCAAAACUAUAAAUCCAGAUGGCAUGCUGGAUCAACCCGAGCUGAUGAAAAAUAACAGUGGAGGGCCGAAAAGGGAAAAAAAAUGGUGGCGAUCGAAUGAGAAUUUCACACCUACAGUACCUACCACACAUGGUCUUCACACAUCGGAUAGGGCUCGGAGAGAAAGCCCAGAUGAACACAAAUGUAAAUGUAUCGUUUAUGACAUUACAGUAACAAUAACAGUAAUGUUAUUGUUUCAUGCUUUUCACUGUAAUAUCUGGAGCUUCCCGUUUCAUAAUAAACAUUUAACAAUGCAAACAAA